UCAGGUGAGGGUGGGGUAGGCACCUCUGAGCUCAGGCUCUCCUUGGGCGGUCCUUGCUGCGGCUGCUGUGGGGGCUGGGGGUGAGAUUCCCAGGUCACUGGAGUUAUGUACCUGGGAGGAUUAUGUCUGCCUCUGCUGAGUCAUGCAGGUUGUCAGGGAAGUGGGGGAAAGCCGGCAGUCACAGGGCUCGCCCAGCUCCCACCCAAACCAAAGGGCCGGUCUCACUCCCACCGUGCACCCCCCAACAGCCCCCAGUCCGUUUCCAGGCGGAGAGGGAUACAGGCCUGAAAACCUGCCCCAGGCUACCCGCCUCCCAGCUGCGAGAGAAAAAGGCUUGGUUCUUCCCCCGCCUGUGGAGUCUGCACCCCGGAUUCGUGCCCUGCCCUAGUUCUGGCCAGGAGGAUUCUCACCCAGUUCAAAUUGUUACAACGCUCAGCUAGAGAUUUCCUUCUCCCUGUGGAGUUUUACCCCCUCCUCUCCCGAUGGAUCCCUGUGGUGCCAGCAGGAAUGGGCUGCUCGGGGACCCAGCGAGCUCCGCGGGCCUUUCCGCUGCUUCCUCUACCCCUGUACCUCACUGGGCUCCCCAGACGGACUCAGCUCCAGGUUCCAAAAUCAUCAGUUGAAGAUGAUCCUGCUUCAUCUACAUCCCACCAGUUCCUGGCCCCCAUAGUAAGCAAGCCGUGGACAUUAUGUAGUUUUAUCCUGAAAAUUUUUAGGAUAUCUCGAGAAGCUAAGAACUCUAAAUAAAACAACCACCAAAUGACUAUCUCAUAUAAAAA